GUCACUGCUAUCGGGGUUCGAUUAAGCCAUGCGAGUCGAGAGGGUUCGGCCCUCGGCGUACUGCUCAGUAACACGUGGAUAACCUGCCCUAGGGAAGGGGAUAACCCCGGGAAACUGGGGAUAAUACCCUAUAGGUUACAGAUGCUGGAAUGCCCUGUAACCCAAAGUUCCGACGCCCUAGGAUGGAUCUGCGGCCGAUUAGGUUGUUGUUGGGGUAAUGGCCCAACAAGCCCGUAAUCGGUACGGGUUGUGGGAGCAAGAGCCCGGAGUUGGAUUCUGAGACACGAAUCCAGGCCCUACGGGGCGCAGCAGGCGCGAAAACUUUACAAUGCGGGCAACCGUGAUAAGGGAACCUCGAGCGCCUGUAAAUGCAGGCUGUUCAGGUGCCUAAAACACACCUGAAGAAAGGGCCGGGCAAGACCGGUGCCAGCCGCCGCGGUAAUACCGGCGGCUCGAGUGGUGGCCGCUUUUAUUGGGCUUAAAGCGUUCGUAGCUGGGUUGUUAAGUCUCUUGGGAAAUCUGGCGGCUUAACCGUCAGGCGUCUAAGGGAUACUGGCAAUCUUGGAACCGGGAGAGGUGAGGGGUACUUCGGGGGUAGGAGUGAAAUCCUGUAAUCCUCGAGGGACCACCUGUGGCGAAGGCGCCUCACCAGAACGGCUUCGACAGUGAGGGACGAAAGCUGGGGGAGCAAACCGGAUUAGAUACCCGGGUAGUCCCAGCCGUAAACUAUGCGCGUUAGGUGUAUCGGUGACCACGAGUUACCGAGGUGCCGAAGGGAAACCGUGAAACGUGCCGCCUGGGAAGUAGGGUCGCAAGGCUGAAACUUAAAGGAAUUGGCGGGGGAGCACCACAACAGGUGGAGCCUGCGGUUUAAUUGGACUCAACGCCGGGAAGCUCACCGGAUAAGACAGCAGAAUGAUUGCCGGGCUGAAGACUCUGCAUGACUAGCUGAGAGGAGGUGCAUGGCCGUCGUCAGUUCGUACUAUGAAGCAUCCUGUUAAGUCAGG
rnacentral:rRNA from 1 species